AACGAACGCUGGCGGCAGGCCUAACACAUGCAAGUCGAGCGAGAUCUUCGGGUCUAGCGGCGGACGGGUGAGUAACGCGUGGGAAUAUUCCCUUCUCUGCGGAAUAGCCUCGGGAAACUGAGCGUAAUACCGCAUACGCCCUUUGGGGGAAAGAUUUAUCGGAGAAGGAUUAGCCCGCGUUGGAUUAGGUAGUUGGUGGGGUAACGGCCUACCAAGCCGACGAUCCAUAGCUGGUUUGAGAGGAUGAUCAGCCACACUGGGACUGAGACACGGCCCAGACUCCUACGGGAGGCAGCAGUGGGGAAUCUUAGACAAUGGGGGCAACCCUGAUCUAGCCAUGACGCGUGAGUGAUGAAGGCCUUAGGGUUGUAAAGCGCUUUUAGCUGGGAAGAUAAUGACGGUACCAGAAGAAGAAGCCCCGGCUAACUCCGUG
rnacentral:rRNA from 1 species